AAAAGACAUCGCUACUUCUGACUUCUUCUUGGUGUCCAUGAAAAGCAGUGCCCGAGGCAUCACAUCAGCAGUGAAUCCUUCUCCAUGGCAGUGACAGAGAGGUCAGUUCUGAUUUAAACCUGCUCUCUCCUAAAGAUUCCUAAUGUGAUUCUCAUGCACUGACCAAAACUGCAGUACUUUGCAAAGCAGAAAACACAGGAGAACUUCACAUUGGCAUGGAGAACUGUAUUCCCAAGAGAAAAGAAAGGAAUCAUGGCAGUGUUUGCCUUAUUACUGGGGUUAGCAUGAUCCUAUUAAAAACCAGCAUCCAGACUGACAAUAUUUGGAUCAAGAGCAUCUGAUCACAUCCCUUUAGCCCUCAUAACACCUUUGUGAGGUGACAAGCUGAAGAUAUUCCUAAGGGAAGCCUCACCACUGAUAUUCAGCAAGACUGUGAGCAUUCUAAACCUCAGAACUGAUAGAAAUGGGCAUCUCUCACAGCUACCCUCAAUCAUGUAAAGGGCUAUUUGCAAAAAUUAGAGGUCUAAUUUUUU